UCGUAGUGACUGGGAAGGAUCAU
rnacentral:rRNA from 1 species